rnacentral:rRNA from 1 species
UGGGGGAAUAUUGCACAAUGGAGGAAACUCUGAUGCAGCGACGCCGCGUGAGUGAAGAAGUAAUUCGUUAUGUAAAGCUCUAUCAGCAGGGAAGAUAGUGACGGUACCUGACUAAGAAGCUCCGGCUAAAUACGUGCCAGCAGCCGCGGUAAUACGUAUGGAGCAAGCGUUAUCCGGAUUUACUGGGUGUAAAGGGAGUGUAGGUGGCCAUGCAAGUCAGAAGUGAAAAUCCGGGGACUCAACCCCGGAACUGCUUUUGAAACUGUAAGGCUGGAGUGCAGGAGGGGUGAGUGGAAUUCCUAGUGUAGCGGUGAAAUGCGUAGAUAUUAGGAGGAACACCAGUGGCGAAGGCGGCUCACUGGACUGCAACUGACACUGAGGCUCGAAAGCGU